rnacentral:rRNA from 1 species
UACGUAGGGUGCGAGCGUUGCCCGGAUUUACUGGGCGUAAAGCGCACGUAGGCGGAUUGGUCAGUUAGGGGUGAAAUCCUGGAGCUCAACUCCAGAACUGCCUUUAAUACUGCCAGUCUCGAGUCCGGAAGAGGUAAGUGGAACUCCUAGUGUAGAGGUGGAAUUCGUAGAUAUUAGGAAGAACACCAGUGGCGAAGGCGGCUUACUGGUCCGGUACUGACGCUGAGGUGCGAAAGCGUGGGGAGCAAACAGG